UACGUAGGGUGCAAGCGUUAAUCGGAAUACUGGGCGUAAAGCGUGCGCAGGCGGUGAUGUAAGACAGGUGUGAAAUCCCCGGGCUUAACCUGGGAACUGCAUUUGUGACUGCAUCGCUGGAGUGCGGCAGAGGGGAUGGAAUUCCGCGUGUAGCAGUGAAAUGCGUAGAUAUGCGGAGGAACACCGAUGGCGAAGGCAGUCCCCUGGGCCUGUACUGACGCUCAUGCACGAAAGCGUGGGGAGCAAACAGG
rnacentral:rRNA from 1 species